CACGGGGCAUCCGGGGGGCCGGGGCGAGGGAGGGCGUAUAAUAAACAGCAUCGCUGUCACGCAGGCAGGGCUGCCGGCUCCCAAAGCCUCCUCCCCGCGAUAACAAUCCAGGUACACAGAUCGGUUUCUAUGAAAAGAGGAGAGCAGAGAGCGGCUCCCGUCCCUCCCGGCCCUUCCUUCCCCAGCUGAAGCGUGACAUGGUUCUUUAUGCGCGCCUGACAUGGAGGCCGGGCGAAGAGGAGACGCCGGCUGCGCCCUGUGGCUUUUGGCAGCCAGGCCCCGCGUUCCCUCCGGCCUGCGGGGCCCCGGCACCAAGGCCCAGACCUAGCCUGGGUCGGAUCUUGGGGUGCCCCGGCCCCCCGAGCACACCCCGCCGACAGGCUGCAGCUGCACCCGCUGCCACAGGAGCCCGGGGCUCACCCCAGCCCUUUUCAUGAGACAAAACGCCUGCCUCAGCAGGCCACAGAGCAAAGGCCUGGGUCCAGGGCACGCUGAUGGGUCUUCCCAAUUUCUGCACCCACACUCACUCCACCACGAGGCCCUUCAUGUCCCUCAGCACCAAAAAAAACCCGAAACCACAAAAAUAACAACCCACAGCACCAGGGAGACCUGGAGCUGGAAUCUCCUUGAAUUCACAACAAGGGCUUGCCCGUGGAAGAUGUCAGGGGCUUGACUCUUGCCAGACGAUGCCAAUUUUUAAAAGCGUCUACCUCUAUGGAAGGAAACCAUUGAGAACUCACAAUUCCCAAACCCAGAUACUGCUAUUUUUACAAUAAUGUUACCAGUUAAGUUGUAAUGUUCAUAAAUCAAUUGUUAUUGAGAUUUGUUAUACUGAAGUAUUGUCUAGAGGAGUGAAAGAUGAAAGCAUCUGCAACCUGGGUCAUAAGCAGAGAAGUUAGAAAAGGUUUUUCUAUAGGUUUGGCUGAGCCUAUAGCAUGCAAGACGCCAGCUAUCCCCUUUGGGUUUAGGGAGACGGCUCUGUCUGGGUGCUUAUCCACAUCCCAAGGAAAGCACCUGGCAGCAGGCGGAUGGAGGAGGGAGUGGCUGAAAGCCGCAGGGUCACAUCUAGGGAAGGAAGUAAGUGGGCCACAACAAGCACUGCCAGCCAGUAGGGUUGGUAAUGCAGAGAAAGGAGACAAGCAAACACCUCUUCUAGCACAUGAUUUUGGGCUGGAACAGGACCAAGAAGACUCUCACUGUUUAUGGUGUCCCCAGGCAUGGCUGUGGUACCCAAACACCGCUGUUGGCAGUGCAUGAGUAAAUAAAGUUUGGCACUUUGGGUCAUAAAACAGGGUAUGGGCUUCUCUGCUGAGGGAAGCAUUGCUGUAAAAUCAUUAACUCAGGUAUCAGUAGCAGACUAACAAUGAGGAAAGAAAAUCCAAGAAGCUGAAUAAACACUCAGGUGAUUAGCCUGCACUCUGCUCAGUGCUGUUAUCUGUGCCUGAACUACCCAGAUCAGUGACAGGGUUGCCAGAGCAGCCACCUUCAGUAGAGACGUGUGGCCAAACAAUUCACUUUCACUUUCACAUCAGAUAGGAUUUUGCAUCCUUUUAAAUUCAUAUCUCAUUUCAGUUUAAAGUCUCUUCAGAACAAAUAUAAUACAAAAUAUCUGAGUACAGGAGUUGUGGACUCUGACCUGAGUUUGUCUGGAAUAAUUCCGUGUUGCAUCUUACUUCUCAUACUUGUGUUAUCUUCCCAAACCACCUUUAUCUCCAGAAUACUUACUAGAGAGAUGGAUCUGAUUUAUUUUUCCUAUUUACAUUAUUUGCUUUUCAUUUAUUGGUAUUAAUAGCUCUUUCUAGUAAUUUAUUUAAUGCUCUUAAAUCAGAAAGGAACAGGAAGUAUGCCUAUUUCUUCCAAUGUAUUGCAAAUGUCAGAAUAGCAAAAUUCAAAGUGACUAGAUACUGAACUGAAACAUCUCAUCAAAAUGUUCAUUUUUUUAAAUUCUGUCUGUCUCAGCAUUGGUGUCUGCAGAGGAUGCAGUGAAUGAAUAAUAUUUCUAGUCUGCAGUGGAGGUAAUCACAUAGUAGAGCUCUAAAGAAAACUCAUUCCAUGGACAUACAAGGUUGCAGCUCUUUUUUUCUCUUGUGUACAGGCUGCAGUGGGUAAAAGAGCUGCCAGGGUAAGAACUCUGCUCAGCUUUGGCCAGUUGAAAAUUCUUAAAUACACUUUGCAAAUAGUCCCACCAUCAAGCUGUGGUUAAGCUGCUGGGAAAGGAUGGAAGAAGCAACAAGUUUCCCUGCUGAUAAAUUAAAAAGGAAAUCAAAUGCUCCACACAUUAUCAAUACAGAAAAGUCCCUCAGCACAAACAACAAAGGAAUUUCUUAGUGUGAGUGCAUAACUCCAUCAGCCACUCAUUACAGCAGACAAAAGCAGAGACCUUCUGCACAGGGACAGUUCUGCUACGUCACCUGUACUCUGUUCCUCUCCUGUUACGAAGGAUAACAGGGUGUGUACCUCUUCUGAACAGAAGUGGGAAAGAGGGUUUCUUCCAAACACUUCAAGAGCAGUUGCAGAUCAUAAAUGUGAGUGGAGGGAUGCUGGAGCUUGCUAAUAUAUAUAGGCCACAUAUUUAUAAGCCAGGUCCUAAACCUACAGAAGUCAAGAGCUGGGCCUGCUUUAGGCCCAGACAAAGGAGCAGCAGGUCACAGAGGCAGCAACACCGUGUCCUCACUGGGCAAGGGAGACCUGCAGUGCGGAUGGCUCCCUCCUUCCACCAAAGCUCCCCAGAGCAAUAUGACCAAGUUUCCUCUCACUUAUCACCCUGUCAGACAGGUGUUUCUUGAGCAGGGUGAUAUAUAAAAGUAUGAGCAGGGGAAGAGGGGGAAGGCUGAGGCCCAGCAGGACCUUGCAGAGAGGUGGCAGGGCCAGGAGUGUGGUCAGUCAUGAAACCGUGAGUCACCCAGGACAGAUGGUGUCUGAGGUAACUAUCUUGAAGCUACCGCCACACUGCUGAAUUUUGCUUUCCCAGUAAUUCCCAGGAAACAGUAUUCUUGAGUAUCCUACUGAGAAACUUGAAGCCAGUCCUGAUUAUUUCCCCCUGUUCAUAUGAGGA